GAUUAUGGCUCAGGAUGAACGCUAGCUACAGGCUUAACACAUGCAAGUCGAGGGGCAGCAUUGGGGUAGCAAUACUCAGAUGGCGACCGGCGCACGGGUGAGUAACACGUAUCCAACCUGCCGCUUACUCGGGGAUAGCCUUUCGAAAGAAAGAUUAAUACCCGAUGGUAUAAAGAGUUCGCAUGUUCUCUUUAUUAAAGAAUUUCGGUAAGCGAUGGGGAUGCGUUCCAUUAGAUAGUUGGCGGGGUAACGGCCCACCAAGUCUACGAUGGAUAGGGGUUCUGAGAGGAAGGUCCCCCACAUUGGAACUGAGACACGGUCCAAACUCCUACGGGAGGCAGCAGUGAGGAAUAUUGGUCAAUGGACGAGAGUCUGAACCAGCCAAGUAGCGUGAAGGAUGACUGCCCUAUGGGUUGUAAACUUCUUUUAUAAGGGAAUAAAGUGAGGGACGUGUCCCUUUUUGUAUGUACCUUAUGAAUAAGGAUCGGCUAACUCCGUGCCAGCAGCGGC
rnacentral:rRNA from 1 species